CUACGGGACGCACCAGUGAGGAAUAUUGCACAAUGGGGGGAACCCUGAUGCAGCAACGCCGCGUGGAGGAUGACGCAUUUCGGUGUGUAAACUCCUUUUAUAUGUCAAGAAAAUGACGGUAGCAUAUGAAUAAGCACCGGCUAACUCCGUGCCAGCAGCCGCGGUAAUACGGAGGGUGCAAGCGUUACUCGGAAUCACUGGGCGUAAAGGACGCGUAGGCGGGUUGGAAAGUCAGGUGUGAAAUCCUACAGCUUAACUGUAGAACUGCACUUGAAACUUCUAAUCGCGAGUAUGGGAGGGGGAGAUGGAAUUAGUGGUGUAGGGGUAAAAUCCGUAGAUAUCACUAGGAAUACCUAAAGCGAAGGCGAUCUCCUGGAACAUUACUGACGCUAAGGCGUGAAAGCGUGGGGAGCAAACAGGAUUAGAUACCCGCGUAGUC
rnacentral:rRNA from 1 species